AGUGAACGCUGGCGGUAGGCCUAACACAUGCAAGUCGAACGGCAGCACAGUAAGAGCUUGCUCUUACGGGUGGCGAGUGGCGGACGGGUGAGGAAUACAUCGGAAUCUACUUUUUCGUGGGGGAUAACGUAGGGAAACUUACGCUAAUACCGCAUACGACCUACGGGUGAAAGCAGGGGAUCUUCGGACCUUGCGCGAUUGAAUGAGCCGAUGUCGGAUUAGCUAGUUGGCGGGGUAAAGGCCCACCAAGGCGACGAUCCGUAGCUGGUCUGAGAGGAUGAUCAGCUACACUGGAACUGAGACACGGUCCAGACUCCUACGGGAGGCAGCAGUGGGGAAUAUUGGACAAUGGGCGCAAGCCUGAUCCAGCCAUACCGCGUGGGUGAAGAAGGCCUUCGGGUUGUAAAGCCCUUUUGUUGGGAAAGAAAAGCAGCAGGCUAAUACCCCGCUGUUCUGACGGUACCCAAAGAAUAAGCACCGGCUAACUUCGUG
rnacentral:rRNA from 1 species